rnacentral:rRNA from 1 species
AACGAACGCUGGCGGCGUGCUUAACACAUGCAAGUCGAACGAAGUGGCGAACGGGUGAGUAAUACGUGAGUAACCUGCCCUCCUUUGUGGGAUAAGCCUUGGAAACGGGGUCUAAUACCGAAUAAAGGGGGAUGGGCUCGCGGCCUAUCAGCUUGUUGGGGGGGUGAUGGCCUACCAAGGCGGUGACGGGUCGCCGGCCUGAGAGGGUGACCGUGCGCAGUGGGACUGGGGUACGGCCCAGACGCCUACGGGAGGCAGCAGUGGGGGAUAUUGGACAAUGGGCGAAAGCCUGAAGCAGCGACGCAGCGUGGGGGAUGAAGGCUUUCGGGUUGUAAACCUCUGUCGCUAUCGAACGGGUAGGUGCAGAAGAAGCGCCGGCUAACUACGUGCCAGCAGCCGCGGUAAUAC